rnacentral:piRNA from 1 species
UGCAGUGGUGAGAUAGGAUAAAACCUUGA